AGAGUUUGAUCAUGGCUCAGAUUGAACGCUGGCGGAAUGCUUUACACAUGCAAGUCGAACGAUGAACCUUAGCUUGCUAGGGGGAUUAGUGGCGAACGGGUGAGUAAUAUAUCGGAACGUGCCUUGUAAUGGGGGAUAACUAGUCGAAAGAUUAGCUAAUACCGCAUACGCCCUGAGGGGGAAAGUAGGGGAUCUUCGGACCUUACGUUAUAAGAGCGGCCGAUAUCUGAUUAGCUAGUUGGUGGGGUAAUGGCCUACCAAGGCUUCGAUCAGUAGCUGGUCUGAGAGGACGACCAGCCACACUGGAACUGAGACACGGUCCAGACUCCUACGGGAGGCAGCAGUGGGGAAUUUUGGACAAUGGGCGCAAGCCUGAUCCAGCCAUUCCGCGUGAGUGAAGAAGGCCUUCGGGUUGUAAAGCUCUUUCGCAAGGGAAGAAAACUUACUUUCUAAUAAAGAGUGAGGCUGACGGUACCUUGAUAAGAAGCACCGGCUAACUACGUGCCAGCAGCCGCGGUAAUACGUAGGGUGCGAGCGUUAAUCGGAAUUACUGGGCGUAAAGCGUGCGCAGGCGGUUUGGCAAGUCAGAUGUGAAAUCCCCGAGCUCAACUUGGGAACUGCGUUUGAAACUGCCAGACUAGAAUAUGUCAGAGGGGGGUAGAAUUCCACGUGUAGCAGUGAAAUGCGUAGAGAUGUGGAGGAAUACCAAUGGCGAAGGCAGCCCCCCUGGGAUAAUAUUGACGCUCAUGCACGAAAGCGUGGGGAGCAAACAGGAUUAGAUACCCUGGUAGUCCACGCCCUAAACGAUGUCUACUAGUUGUUGGUGGAGUAAAAUCCAUGAGUAACGCAGCUAACGCGUGAAGUAGACCGCCUGGGGAGUACGGUCGCAAGAUUAAAACUCAAGGAAUUUGACGGGGGCCCGCACAAGCGGUGGAUUAUGUGGAUUUAUUUCGAUGCAACGCGAAAAACCUUUACCCUGGCCUUGAACAUGCCACA
rnacentral:rRNA from 1 species